GUGGGAGGGGGCUUGCCCCCGAUGGCGGAGUGUCAGUCACUGAUGAUUAGACUGACACUCCGCUAUCGGGGGCAAGCCCCCUCCCAC
rnacentral:misc_RNA from 1 species